UUUCGGGAUCUUAAGAUUUGU
rnacentral:piRNA from 1 species